CCUACGGCAGGCAGCAGUGAGGAAUAUUGGUCAAUGGGCGGGAGCCUGAACCAGCCAAGUUGCGUGAGGGAAGAAGGUACUGAGUAUUGUAAACCUCUUUUGCCAGGGGACAAAGGCGGCCACGGGUGGCCGUAAGCGGGUACCUGGAGAAAAAGCAUCGGCUAACUCCGUGCCAGCAGCCGCGGUAAUACGGAGGAUGCGCGCGUUAUCCGGAUUUAUUGGGUUUAAAGGGUGCGCAGGCGGCGUGUCAAGUCAGCGGUAAAAUGUCGGGGCUCAACCCCGGCCGGUCGUUGAAACUGGCGUGCUCGUGUUGGAGAGAAGUAUGCGGAAGUCGUGGUGUAGCGGUGAAAGGCAUAGAUAUCACGAAGAACCCCGAGGGCGAAGGCAGCAUACCGGCUCCACACUGACGCUGAGGCACGAAAGCGUGGGUAUCGAACAGGAUGAGAUACCCCGGUAGUC
rnacentral:rRNA from 1 species